rnacentral:rRNA from 1 species
GACGAACGCUGGCGGCGUGCUUAACACAUGCAAGUCGAACGGAAAGGCCCUGCUCUUGUGGGGUGCUCGAGUGGCGAACGGGUGAGUAACACGUGAGUAACCUGCCCUUGACUUUGGGAUAACUUCAGGAAACUGGGGCUAAUACCGGAUAGGAGCUCCUGCUGCAUGGUGGGGGUUGGAAAGUUUCGGCGGUUGGGGAUGGACUCGCGGCUUAUCAGCUUGUUGGUGGGGUAGUGGCUUACCAAGGCUUUGACGGGUAGCCGGCCUGAGAGGGUGACCGGCGACAAUGGGACUGAGAUACGGCCCAGACGCCUACGGGAGGCAGCAGUGGGGAAUAUUGCACAAUGGGCGGGAGCCUGAUGCAGCAACGCCGCGUGCGGGAUGACGGCCUUCGGGUUGUAAACCGCUUUCGCCUGUGACGAAGCGUGAGUGACGGUAAUGGGUAAAGAAGCCCCGGCUAACUACGUG